rnacentral:lncRNA from 10 species
UGCAACCUCCAAUUCUCAUGCAAAGCGAUUCUCGUGCCUCAGCCUCCUGAGUAGUUGGGAUUACAGGCAUGCACCACCAUGACCGGCUGAUUUCCGAGCCCCAUGUCCUGUGCCUUCACGAGCUGUGUGGGCAUUCAAACUGAAAUCCACCAGGAAAACCAAACUGGGGCUUGAGGGGUAUGGCUAGGGUUAGGCUGCUCCUUCCUCAAGUGUGAUGUCACUUUACUGGGCACAUCUUCUGGAGGUAGUGAUGGGACACUCUGGAUU